GGGGGCGCACUGGUUUCGACGGGGAUGCGGAAGCAGGAGUCGCAGGUCGAGGCGCCGCUGGCCUCGUUAAAAAGCGGCAAACCGAUAGUUGCCAACAACGACUACGAUUACGCUCUGGCUGCGUAACUAACGCUGCCACAUUCCGAGGGCUGACGCCCGAUACGCUUUUGGAAUGACACCCUUAUCGGGCUGGUUCCCGCCGGCGUUCGCCACGGCGGGGGCGAGACACUUUGGUGAACUGGUCGCGGCAGGAGCCUGUUCGUGGGCGCCGCCGCGAUGAGAUCAAAUCGCGAACUAAACCUGUAGAAGCUCACUGUGGAACGUUCUCGGACGGGGGUUCGACUCCCCCCGCCUCCACCA
rnacentral:tmRNA from 1 species